ACAAACAAGAGUCUCUGGAUUUUUUUAGUGAAUCAUAGAAUAUUAGGGUGGAAGGGACCUCAGGAAGUCAUCUAGUCCAACACCCUGCUCAAAGCAGGACCAAUUUCCAGACAGAUUUUUGCCCCGAUCCCUAAAUGGCUUCCUCAAGGACCGAACUCACAACCAUGGUUUAGCAGCUCAACCAGCGCU